CUGCUCCUGGGGAGUGUUGCGCACAAUUGGAGGGGGCUUCGGUUCUGGUUUAGGCCCCUCAACUUUGUUGUGAGUAUCAUUCUGCAGGGUUGGUCUCUUGUCCCUGGGCUACUUAAAUUUGCUCCACGAGGUACCAACCCCUGCCCAACCAUUCGGGCGAUCCAGCCAGGGCAGUUUUACACAAUUGGAGUAGUUUUUCAGCUGCAUGGAUUGGGAUCUCUUUGGUCAUUCCCCCACUUUCAAUUCACAAAGACGCAGCAGCACACACAGGGUUCGCAGCCUUUUUCAGGAACCACUCAUUAGACCACUCUUUUAGAGCAGUCACAUGACCCCUCUGGGUCCUAAAUUGCAAAGGGGGGACUGUCUGGGCUUAAUCCCUCAGAAGUAGAUCGGUCGCUGGUGGGGAAACGGUGGCGAUCAGUAAGUACAUGGGGAGGGAGGUGUGGCGGAACCAGUCUCGCCACUGGGCAUUGGAGAAGACUGAUU